rnacentral:rRNA from 1 species
UACGUAGGGCGCAAGCGUUGUCCGGAAUUAUUGGGCGUAAAGAGCUCGUAGGCGGCCUGUUACGUCUGCUGUGAAAUCCCGGGGCUUAACCCCGGGCGUGCAGUGGAUACGGGCAGACUGGAGGCAGGCAGGGGAGAACGGAAUUCCCGGUGUAGCGGUGAAAUGCGCAGAUAUCGGGAGGAACACCGGUGGCGAAGGCGGUUCUCUGGGCCUGUACUGACGCUGAGGAGCGAAAGCGUGGGGAGCGAACAGG